GAUGAACGCUGGCGGCGUGCCUAAUACAUGCAAGUCGAGCGAACAGACGAGGAGCUUGCUCCUCUGACGUUAGCGGCGGACGGGUGAGUAACACGUGGAUAACCUACCUAUAAGACUGGGAUAACUUCGGGAAACCGGAGCUAAUACCGGAUAAUAUAUUGAACCGCAUGGUUCAAUAGUGAAAGACGGUUUUGCUGUCACUUAUAGAUGGAUCCGCGCCGCAUUAGCUAGUUGGUAAGGUAACGGCUUACUAAGGCAACGAUGCGUAGCCGACCUGAGAGGGUGAUCGGCCACACUGGAACUGAGCCACGGUCCAGACUCCUACGGGAGGCAGCAGUAGGGAAUCUUCCGCAAUGGGCGAAAGCUUGACGGAGCAACGCCGCGUGAGUGAUGAAGGUCUUCGGAUCGUAAAACUCUGUUAUUAGGGAAGAACAAAUGUGUAAGUAACUAUGCACGUCUUGACGGUACCUAAUCAGAAAGCCACGGCUAACUACGUG
rnacentral:rRNA from 1 species